rnacentral:rRNA from 1 species
GACGAACGCUGGCGGCGUGCUUAACACAUGCAAGUCGAACGCUGAAGCUCAGCUUUUGUUGGGUGGAUGAGUGGCGAACGGGUGAGUAACACGUGAGUAACCUGCCUCCUUCUUUGGGAUAACGCCCGGAAACGGGUGCUAAUACUGGAUAUUCACUGGUCUUCGCAUGGGGGUUGGUGGAAAGGGUUUUUCUGGUGGGGGAUGGGCUCGCGGCCUAUCAGCUUGUUGGUGGGGUGAUGGCCUACCAAGGCUUUGACGGGUAGCCGGCCUGAGAGGGUGACCGGUAACAUUGGGACUGAGAUACGGCCCAGACUCCUACGGGAGGCAGCAGUGGGGAAUAUUGCACAAUGGGCGCAAGCCUGAUGCAGCGACGCCGCGUGGGGGAUGGAGGCCUUCGGGUUGUGAACCUCUUUCGCUCAUGGUCAAGCCGCAACAAUGGUUGUGGUGAGGGUAGUGGGUAAAGAAGCGCCGGCUAACUACGUG